GGGGCUGAUUCUGGAUUAGACGGGAUUUGCGAAACCCAAGGUGCAUGCCGAGGGGCGGUUGGCCUCGUAAAAAGCCGCAAAAAAAUAGUCGCAAACGACGAAACCUACGCUUUAGCAGCUUAAUAACCUGCUUAGAGCCCUCUCUCCCUAGCCUCCGCUCUUAGGACGGGGAUCAAGAGAGGUCAAACCCAAAAGAGAUCGCGUGGAUGCCCUGCCUGGGGUUGAAGCGUUAAAACGAAUCAGGCUAGUCUGGUAGUGGCGUGUCCGUCCGCAGGUGCCAGGCGAAUGUAAAGACUGACUAAGCAUGUAGUACCGAGGAUGUAGGAAUUUCGGACGCGGGUUCAACUCCCGCCAGCUCCACCA
rnacentral:tmRNA from 1 species